GGAAGGAAAGGAGGGAGGAAGGAAGAAGGAAAAGGAUGGCAUUUGGGGGAAGGACAUUAAACAAAGUCACCUAGGAAGAUAGUUUUAAAUAACGAAGCUUGAGUCAGUGAGAUGGUAAGGGAUGUCAUUAUUGCCCCUCACAGCACCUCUUACUGAGGCUGGCUCUGCCCAGGAGGGGUGAUUAGGGCUCUCAGAUACAGGGCAGGUACACAGGUCGGGUGAGCAAAGCAAUCUGAAAGCCAUAUUCUACCUUACUUAUUGUAUGACCAUAAGCUGGCGUCCUUCCCAGUUUCUACAUGAUAAAAUGGGAGAUCCUAGGCAAACACUAACAAUGUCCCAACAGAACGUUCUUUCAUUGAUUCAUUCUGGGUCUUCUUCCCAACAAACACUAAAAUGGCCUUUUCUUAGCAGGCUCAGGGUCCAAUGCUCAAGCCUUAGUCUUGGCAGAAGUUCCUCUCCACACAUCAUUGCCACCCACCCUUCUUGCGAGACUUUUUGGCUAGAGCAUCUUGGCUAACCUUAGGUAUUUGGUUUUUUGGAAUCUCCUUAGACUGUUCUGUAACUGUGGCUUGCCUCUCAUCGUCUGACCACAAUAUAAGUCCCCCAUCAUCCCUGGAGACUAUUCAGAGAAACAAGGAUUUCCUGUGCAUUAUUCUCCAAACCAGUGAGCAGGGGCUGCCCUGACAUGACCCCCAUACGAGGGUCUUUAGGAGGCUUUAAGGAAAGAAGCAGAGGGAAGGUAUUGUUUGUGUGUGUCAGGGAAGUUUUGACUCUAUCAAAUUUGAAGACAAAUGAUCAUUGUGUCAGACUUACAACAGCCUAGACUCAUGUGGGUUCUGUUGACUGUCCAGGUUUUAGCAUCAAUGACUUGUCUUAUUGUAUAGCGAAAGGCUUCAUACUGGAGUCUAAGUUCAACACAAGUCAUACCUGCACCCUAAAGAUUGUGUUGGCCCAAGCUUGGUGGAGACGGACAGUGGGGAACCUAGAACUGGCCUCUGGGGAGGGGCUUGGAACUACCAUCAAGGAACGCUUGAAGUUUCACUAAAGUAGGAGAACAGACUUAGGUGGCAAAGUGAAGCGGAACCAUGUUUCCAGCAGAGAACGCAGUGAACACAAGGGCCCUGAGGAGAAAGAGGACAGGCUGGAGUCAGUUGACUUUCUAAGCCCCUGUCCCUCUGCUCCCCGGGCUGUGGUUCUAAAAGUUCCCUUCCCUUCCCGACCUUGACCUCUCAUCUCUAGAACAAGUCAGCUUUGUUCACUUUGUUAUAAUUGUGUUGUUUUUAUUAGUUUUAAAUUAACUAUACAAAAUAGUGGGCUUGCUAUGGUCUUUUUAUACAUACUUAGUUCUUAUCCCUCUCCCUUCUCUGCUGUCCUUCCCCGUCCCUACCCUCUGCUAAUCUUUACCGCCUUCCUUCUACUUUCACAUCACAUGCAUUUUCUGCUCUCUCUUUCUCCUGUUCUCUUCCCUUAAGAUCUCUUCUGUCCUUUUUUGUUUCAUUAUGGCACACAGAUGCACACAUGCAAAUACACAUAAAUCCAAACUUAAAUAUUUCUUGCACAUAACAGAAUAUAGGGUAUUUUUGCUUUCUGAAUUUGGCUAAUUUUUCAAAAACACAAUGACCUGCAGCUCCAACCAUUUUCAUAUAUAUAUAUAUAUUACUAUUGGGGCAUAACAUUCUAUUGUGCACUUGGCCUCACUUUCUUUAUCCACUCCUGAGGGUGAGCAUCUCUGCUGUCUGCAUUUCUUAUGUUGUGAACAGAAGUGCUUCUGUCUUGUAGGAAGACAAGUGUGAGAGUGACAGGUCUUCACUGUGGGUCCCUGCUUCCUCUUCUUUCACCUAUGAUCACCUGGGUGUCAGGACCAAAGAUGUUCCAACUUGGAAGCCUUGUUGUCUUGGACAGCCUGAUCACUGGGACCUCAGAACCGCUUUUUUGUAAUAUGGGCAGUAAUGUGCAUAAUUUGGACAUUCUGAAUUCUUUCUCUGGAAGUCAGAGUCAGUAAAGUUGCUAUGAGCCAGCUUGCCGCAGGAGUCACCCUAAUGAACACUCUGUCUGCAAUAUCAGAGCCUGCCGGGAGGGGGCAGUGCUGUCCUUAUGUGGGGGUCACUGAGGACUAUGCAGCCAUUCAUUUCCUGCCUCACUCACUUAUCUUUUUAGAAAUAAACUGUCCUAUGACAUUACAUCCUUACAGGGUCUUGCCAAUAUAUGCACAGGAUAAAUUCUUUAAAGAAAAAUUUCAAAAUUUUAGGAAGUUUGCAUUUUAAAUCGCGGUAGCUAUUGAGGGUACUCCCCUAUCCACUUUCUCUAGCAGUCUGUGUGGCCUGUCUCCCAACCCUUUGCAUGCAGUAACUUUUAACUGGUUUGCCAUUAUCUGAGAUAAGAAAAUGAAACUCAGUUCACUUUUCAUUUCUCUAAUUCUAACUGUUCUCACAUCUUAAUACCUUUAUUACUGGAUUACAUAAUUUAACUAAAGUGUUGUGUCAAACGAUUAGCAUCUAUUUCUGUAGUUUGUUUUCCUUUUCUUAUUGAUCUGUGUUGAGUGUCUAGAAACGAAGGACAUCAGCCCACUCCGGUUAUACGUUCUUGAACUAUCCACAUUCCUAUUUAAUGGCACCUCUGUUCUCUGCUGUAGAAGAAUGGAUGCCUGGCAGUCCUUACAGGAAGAUGUAAGCCCAUGCAUGCUGCCUUCAAACCUUGUCAAGGUUUGGGCAUCUUCCCAAGGUGAAGAAGGAACCAUCUUCUCGUUUCACAGAUGGGAGAAUCAGAGUGGAGAGAAAAUGGUACCAAGUUCAAGGUUGCCCAGGAAAUUGUACGAAGCCAGAAGAGGGUGUCAGAUCCUAGGAUUUAUAGAUGGCUAUGAGCCUUCCAACAAAGUACUUGGAACUGAACUCUAGUGUCCCCCUCCCCCAAAGGAGCAGCAAGCACUGUUAACUGCUGUGCCGCCAUCUCUCCAGUAUCACCACUAUACUGAAAACACAGAUGAUGAAUAGCCCAGAGGGAGGCUGCAGUUCCCAGUCCCACUUCAUGGAGAAAGAUAAAGCCCUAUCUCCUGUCAUGCAGUGAGAAGAGUGAAGAUUUGAACCCAUGUUCUCCAAUUCCUGGUGCCAGGCUCUGACCAGAUCCCACCAAGUCCCUUCACCAGCAACAUAAUGCACCAGACGCUUCUCUGUCCAUCAUGGACAUGUCCAUCAUGUCCAUCAUGUCCAUCAUGGAAGAUGUUAGUUAACCUAUGUAGCAGCUAAGGCAACAGAAGCCACCAACUGUAACAUCCCCAGACUAUGGUCCUGGGGUGUGAAAACCCCCCUUGACGAGAUCUCAACAGGGCCCUUAUCUCUGUGACCCCUAUCAGUGAGCAGGAUUUUCAUGAGUUUGUGCAACAUGGUGGCAGGCAGCCAGUGAGAGGGUCACAAACAGAAGCAAACCAUGGCAAGACCCCAGCAGGCUCUGACAGCAUCAUCAUGUCCAUGGCUAUGGUGACCUCAUGCUGAGUACAGGCCCUCGGGGCUUCCUAGGUAGCAGUGGUCCAUCUCUGUGCUGUCUCACAGCCCAACACCCAGAUCCCACCCGUUUCUGUGCUGUUCUGGCUUGACAUGAACCCAGGGCUUGGUGACCAGUUAAAAAAUGUGCCCCAUGGGAAAUGUGCCCCUGGGGAUGCACAAGCCUAGGGGAAGUGCUGGCCUGCCAGCUGUUCACACCCUGAUGUAGGUAGAAAGGCCAAGGCACUAGAUUUCUACUCCCUCGUGUCCUUGGCAGCUGUGUGACUCUCAGAAACCUGUUCCUUCCACUGGAAAAUGAGGCUCUCAAACCUGCCUCCUGAUAAGUACGAAGCCCAAUCAAGUGUAUGAUGGGAAUGUAACCUGGAGGUCGGAGAGCAGGCAAACGAUUGCAUUUGCCCUCAGGAAAACCCCAUACUUCUCACUGCUAUCCUUCUCACUGCCUGCUGGAGCAGCUGCUCCCUCUCUCAGUGGGAGCUUAGAUUCUGGGUUCUCAGCUCAUCAAAGCCUCUUCCUAUCUGAACCCCUUUAAAGAUCACUAGUAGAUAGAAACAGAAGCAGGACAGUUCCAGAUGGUAUAUAAAGGUCAGCGGCCACUGCCAGUUGUCUGAUUAUAGAGGUUUGUGCCCUACAGUCCACAUGUGAAGGGCUGUGCGCAUGAGCCACAGGGUUUAGAGGUAGUGCUUGGACUCUCAAAUUCAGAGGAGAGUGAGCUCACCAUAUGUGAUAAGGCCGCCUGUCAGUCCCAUAGUCAAGCUGUUUCUGUCACAGACAAGCUGGGGAGGUCAGAAACCAGCUUUGCUCAGAGUCCACAAUAUAGAUGGCCUAAGAAACAUCUGUAUACUGCUUAUAUUUUUAUAUUGUGUGUAUGAUGUUCACAUGUGAGUGCAGGGGUGUGUGUGUGUGACUGUGUGCCUGCUAAGGUCAGAGGGUAAACCUCCAGAGUGGGUUCUCUCUAAAACAGUUCCAUGGGCUAUGCUGAGAAAGCAUAGGUCAUUAGGCCUGUGAAACAAGUGUCUCUUCCAUUGACCGAUCUCACUGACUCAAUGAGAGCUAUGAGCUAGCAUGAACAAAACAUACAUUUUCUGGCUGCAAGGUGGAGUGUAGGUCACGGCAUCACUUCAGUUUCU